GACGAACGCUGGCGGCGUGCCUAACACAUGCAAGUCGAGCGGAGCGGGGACGGGUGAGUAAUGUAUGGGGAUCUCCCGAUCGAGGGGAUAACUACUGGAAACGGUGGCUAAACCGAUACUAUCGGAUGAACCCAUAUGGGAUUAGCUAGUAGGUGGGGUAAAGGCUCACCUAGGCGACGAUCUCUAGCUGGUCUGAUAGGAUGAUCAGCCACACUGGGACGUAGACACGGCCAAGACGCCUACGGGAGGCAGCAGUAGGGAAUCUGCGGCAAUGGAAGAAAGUCUGACAGAGCGACGCAGCGUGAGUGAAGAAGGGUUGCGGAUCGUAAAACUCUGUUGUUAGAGAAGCGGUAUCUAACCAAAAAGCCACGGCUAACUACGUGCCAGCCGCCGCGGUAAUAC
rnacentral:rRNA from 1 species